UUUGAAGGGCUGUCAACGUGGCUUCCUGCUUUAUGAAAGCGUGCUGUGUGAGCUGUUAAUGGUCUUCUUCAGCUGUAUUCGCUCGGCCGGUGUUCUGCAUGCGUUUCGACACUCACUCGUACACCUAAACAUGCCGCUUAGGAGCGCCAGCAUGUGUGAAGAGCUGAAGACGAGAGUCCUGCGGCUAUCAGCGCAGAGCUCCGGGGAGCAGCAGGAGUGGACCGAGAUCCUGAGCGCCACAGUCAAGGCUCUGAAAGCGGGGCAGGUCGUGGCCGUUCCCACUGACACCAUCUACGGUCUGGCCUGUGUGGCUCAACACUCUGCGGCCGUCAGGAGAGUUUAUGAUAUCAAAGGACGGAAUGGAGACAAUCCUCUAGCCAUCUGUGUCGGAGAAGUACAGGACAUCUACAGAUUCUGUAAGGUGUCUGUGAAGGAGGAGCUGCUCCGAGAUCUGCUGCCUGGACCGGUUACACUAGUUCUGGAAAGAUCCUCCACACUGAACGGAGACCUCAAUCCUUUUACCAAGCUCAUAGGGGUUCGUGUUCCAGACCAUCCGUUCAUGAGGCGUCUCUGUCAGAUGUGCGGCGAGCCGCUUGCUCUCACCAGUGCUAACGUCAGCACACAAACCAGCACAGUUGCUGCUAACGAGUUUGAGGAUCUGUGGCCCAGUCUGGCUGUUGUGGUGGACGGUGGACCGAUUGGAGAUAAAAGCCGGUUGGGAUCAACAGUUGUGGAUCUGUCUGUGUGUGGCAGAUACCGUAUAAUCAGACCCGGAUGUGCUCUCUCUGCUACAGUUCAGGUACUUGAGGGCAAGUAUGGACUGCUGGAGGAUCCUGUCAAUCAGUGAGAUUAAAGCACAGCACAAACCCACUGUAGGUCAAAGCCAGCCCAGAGAUCAGACACUGUUCUGAAGUGUGUGCGAUUCUUAGUAAUGGGUCUUGAGGGUCUGAUUUUCUGCGGGGGGUUUCCCUCUUCUUUUUAGAGAAUUGAGUUUGGUUGAUCUGAUCUGAAUGUGCUUUUGAAAUGAUCAUCUCAGGCCACAGACUCAAUUUUCUAGGUUCUCAAGUUGAAGACGCACAUUUUUCUUCUCACUCCUAGUCGGACGUUUAGUUCCUGAAGACUCAUUUCAUAUAUUACUGUUAUGUAAAGUGGAGUAGUUCUUCUGUUGCCAUGACCUCUACACCACUGAGAUGCCAUUGGGGAUACACUGACUAUUAUGUUGGGAAUAUUAUUGUGAAUACUUGAUUGCUUUGUUACAGUACAUUAAUAGUUUAGAUUCAAGGGUUUUGUUUUGUUAAUUGGGAUUUUAUUUAUUGCAACUUUAAAUUUCAAAUUAUUGUGCCAAUAUUUCAGGGAUCACCUGCUCUCUGGCAGAGCAUCGUUUGUCUUUUUAUAAAAUAAACAAAAAUAAAAAACCUAAAUCUGAUGUCAAUAACUUUAAUAUUGUACUGUUUAAAUGCAGCCGUUACCCCAGAAACCCUGUAAACAAAGCAG